rnacentral:rRNA from 1 species
GAUGAACGCUGGCGGCGUGCCUAAUACAUGCAAGUCGAGCGAACAGACGCGGAGCUUGCUCCUCGCACGUUAGCGGCGGACGGGUGUGUAACACGUGGAUAACCUCCCUAUCUGACUGGGAUCUCUUCGAGAAACCGGCGCUAAUACCGGAUAAUAUAUUGAACCGCAUGGUUCAAUAGUGAAAGACGGUUUUGCUGUCACUUAUAGCUGGAUCCGCGCCGCAUUAGCUAGUUGGUAAGGUAACGGCUUACGAAGGCAACUAUGCGUAGCCGACCUGUGAGAGGGAUAGGCGACACGGGAACGGAGACGCGGUCCAGACGCCUACGAGACGCAGCAGUAGGGAAUCUUCCGCAAUGGGCGAAAGCUUGACGGAGCAACGCCGCGUGAGUGAUGGAGGUCUUCGGAUCGUAAAAAUCUGUUAUUAGGGAAGAACAAAUGUGUAAGUAACUAUGCACGUCUUGACGGUACCUAAUCAGAAAGCCACGGCUAACUACGUG